AGGAUUGAGCACACAGGUAACUCAGCUGUC
rnacentral:piRNA from 1 species